rnacentral:rRNA from 1 species
UACGGAGGGUGCAAGCGUUAUCCGGAUUCACUGGGUUUAAAGGGUGCGUAGGAGGGCAGGUAAGUCAGUGGUGGAAAUCUCCGGGCUUAACUCGGAAAGGUCAGCCGAUACUGCGGGGCUAGAGUGCAGAAGGGGCAACUGGAAUUCUCGGUGUAGCGGUGAAAUGCGUAGAUAUCGAGAGGAACACCUGCGGCGAAGGCGGGUUGCUGGGCUGACACUGACGCUGAGGCGCGAAAGCGUGGGGAGCAAACAGG